rnacentral:rRNA from 1 species
UACGGGGGGGGCAAGCGUUGUUCGGAAUUACUGGGCGUAAAGGGCUCGUAGGCGGCCAACUAAGUCAGACGUGAAAUCCCUCGGCUUAACCGGGGGAACUGCGUCUGAUACUGGAUGGCUUGAGAUUGGGAGAGGGAUGCGGAAUUCCAGGUGUAGCGGUGAAAUGCGUAGAUAUCUGGAGGAACACCGGUGGCGAAGGCGGCAUCCUGGACCAACACUGACGCUGAGGAGCGAAAGCCAGGGGGAGCAAACGGG